rnacentral:rRNA from 1 species
AACGAACGCUGGCGGCAGGCCUAACACAUGCAAGUCGAACGAGAAGCCACCUUCGGGUGGUGGAAAGUGGCAGACGGGUGAGUAACGCGUGGGAACGUGCCUUUCGGUUCGGGAUAACCCAGGGAAACUUGGGCUAAUACCGGAUACGCCCUCCGGGGGAAAGAUUCAUUGCCGAAAGAUCGGCCCGCGUCGGAUUAGCUAGUUGGUGGGGUAAUAGCCUACCAAGGCGACGAUCCGUAGCUGGUCUGAGAGGAUGACCAGCCACACUGGGACUGAGACACGGCCCAGACUCCUACGGGAGGCAGCAGUGGGGAAUAUUGGACAAUGGGCGAAAGCCUGAUCCAGCCAUGCCGCGUGGGUGAAGAAGGCCUUAGGGUUGUAAAUCCCUUUCAGCGGGGACGAUAAUGACGGUACCCGCAGAAGAAGUCCCGGCUAACUCCGUGCCAGCAGCCGCGGUAA